rnacentral:rRNA from 1 species
GACGAACGCUGGCGGCGUGCCUAAUACAUGCAAGUUGAGCGCUGAAGGUUGGUACUUGUACCAACUGGAUGAGCAGCGAACGGGUGAGUAACGCGUGGGGAAUCUGCCUUUGAGCGGGGGACAGCAUUUGGAAACGAAUGCUAAUACCGCAUAAAAACUUUAAACACAAGUUUUAAGUUUGAAAGAUGCAAUUGCAUCACUCAAAGAUGAUCCCGCGUUGUAUUAGCUAGUUGGUGAGGUAAAGGCUCACCAAGGCGAUGAUACAUAGCCGACCUGAGAGGGUGAUCGGCCACAUUGGGACUGAGACACGGCCCAAACUCCUACGGGAGGCAGCAGUAGGGAAUCUUCGGCAAUGGACGAAAGUCUGACCGGGCAACGCCGCGUGAGUGAAGAAGGUUUUCGGAUCGUAAAACUCUGUUGGUAGAGAAGAACGUUGGUGAGAGUGGAAAGCUCAUCAAGUGACGGUAACUACCCAGAAAGGGACGGCUAACUACGUG